UCUUCCGUAGUAUAGUGGUCAGUAUGUGAGCUUGUCAUUAAACAAUCGCUCGAGACCCGGGUUCAAUUCCCGGCGGGAGAG
rnacentral:tRNA from 1 species